AGUUGUGGUGUUCAUGGACAUGAGCUGCUGUCAGUGAAGCAGAAAUGGAAGAGCCAGUGACAAACUUGCACAUUUCUUACUGCUGCUAAGCUUACAGGUCUAGAUUGUGAUGGAACACACAGUGGCAAUCUACUGUUUCAUGGCAAGGCUGCAGCACAAAAACUCUUCAGGAUGAAAAGUUGGAGUUUGAGAAGGGAGGUGCUGUGGAUGAUCAGAGAGGACACAGCUGUAGCUAUGUUGACACAAAUGGAGCAAGGUCUCAGCAGCCUGACAAGCAGUGUGGCAAAAGAACAACUGUUUAUAUUUUUCUGAAUUAUGUGAUCACCAGAGCAGUUGGAGAACAAGUUACAGCAAAUGUGCUCUUGAGAGCACCCGUGAUCAGAGCCUCAUCAACCAAUUUAAGAGCUGACCUUUUGCCUAGGCUUUCUGCAGAACCUCAGACAACAUGACAAUACCCAGCCGUGCAGGACACCCUGGCAGGCCAGAAGGGGAUUGUGAAGAAGACAACAGCGUGGUUGUUGGAGGACCUUCCUGGCCAAGACAGGAAUUGAAGAGAGGCAUUUCAUUCCUGGAGUCCAUGGGCUGGGAACUGUCUCUCAUUCCUCCCUGGAGUGCUGAAGUGGAGAAGGGAGAGCAGGACAACAGACAGGAGCUGCCAGGAAAGGACCCUUUGGAUGGAAAAGACCCUUUGGAUGUCUCAAAUCAUCAGUACCAUACAGGUGUGAUCAAAGUGUAGUGUGGGGUAAGGGGCCUUUCAGAGCAGACUGGAAAGGGAGAAGGCACUGCCAAGACCCUACUGCAGCCAAGGGUGCAGCUUCAAAUGUCCUCUCCUGGAAGGUGAAUGUACAGAAAGGAGAAAGGGGAACAAGGUCAGAAAAUGCAGACCACAAAAGGACUGUGUUCAUUCAUAUGUUUGAGUUUAUAUAAGAAUGUAAAUACCAGAGAAAGAGACGUCAAAUAUUGCACUAAACAAUAUUAAACUAAAGAUUAUUACUACAGGA